AACAUGUCUUCGAGCCCUCCUGCCUAAGGCCAUUGGCUAUGGCAUCGGGGCCACGCCGGGAAACCGGCCAAGGGUUGCAAGGGAAACGGUGCAGCCUUCCUGUUUGAAAAGGAGAC
rnacentral:ncRNA from 1 species